AGAGUUUGAUCCUGGCUCAGAUUGAACGCUGGCGGCAGGCCUAACACAUGCAAGUCGAACGGUAACAGGAAUCAGCUUGCUGAUUCGCUGACGAGUGGCGGACGGGUGAGUAAUGUCUGGGGAACUGCCUGAUGGAGGGGGAUAACUACUGGAAACGGUAGCUAAUACCGCAUAACGUCGCAAGACCAAAGAGGGGGACCUUCGGGCCUCUUGCCAUCGGAUGUGCCCAGAUGGGAUUAGCUAGUAGGUGGGGUAAAGGCUCACCUAGGCGACGAUCCCUAGCUGGUCUGAGAGGAUGACCAGCCACACUGGAACUGAGACACGGUCCAGACUCCUACGGGGGGCAGCAG
rnacentral:rRNA from 1 species